rnacentral:lncRNA from 1 species
CAGGCUACAAGUGAAGUUUGAGUUACAUGAAAUGACGGUUUACAUAGCUCUACUACAUGAAAUGACGAUGUUUUCUUAUCUUCCUCUCUUGUGUGUCGGCAUCUAGUGAAGUUUGAGCUACAUGAAAUGACGGUUUUACAUAGCUCUACUAUAUGAGAUGAUGAUGUUUUCGUGUCUUCCUCUCUUGUCUGCAGUCUAGCAGUGAAGUUUGAGUUACAUGAAAUGAAGGUUCAAAUAGCGCUACUAUAUGAAAUGACGAUGUUUUCUUGUCUUCCUCUCUUAUCUGCAGGCUACCAGUGAAGUUUGAGUUACAUGAAAUGACGAUGUCUUCUUGUCUUCCUCUCUUGUCUGCAGGCUACAAGUGAAGUUUGAGUUACAUGAAAUGACGAUGUUUUCUUGUCUUCCUCUCUUGUCUGCAGGCUACCAGUGAAGUUUGAGUUAUAUGAAAUGAUGAUGUUUUCUUGUCUUCCUCUCUUGUCUGCAGGCUACAAGUGAAGUUUGAGUUACAUGAAAUGACAGUUUACAUAGCUCUACUACAUGAAAUGAUGAUGUUUUAUUGUCUUCCUCUCUUGUGUGUCGGCAUCUAGUGAAGUUUGAGCUACAAGAAAUGACAGUUCAAAUAGCUCCACUAUAUGAAAUGAUGAUGUUUUCUUGUCUUUCUCUCUUGUCUGCAGGCUAGCAGUGAAGUUUGAGUUACAUUACAUGAAGGUUCAAAUAGCGCUACUAUAUGAAAUGACGAUGUUUUCUUGUCUUCCUCUCUUCUCUGCAGGCUACCAGUGAAGUAAACAAGGCCUGAAUGGAAAAAGAAACAAAAAAAGAAAUCAGACUAACUAGGUUCAGAAGAUUCGUCUUGCAAAUUACAAGUAAACUGUGUAAUUAGUUUUUAUUUUCAUUUAUAUUUGGUACUUCAUGCAUGCGACCAGAGAUUCGAUGUGACAGGGAAUCUUGAAAAUUUUUGUGAACUAAACAAGGCCUGAAUGGAAAAAGAAACCAAAAAAAAGAAAUCAGACUAACUAGGUUUAAAAGAUUCGUCUCGCAAAUUAUAAGUAAACUGUGUAAUUAGUUUUUAUUUUCGUUUAUAUUUGGUACUUCAUGCAUGCGACCAGAGAUUCGAUGUGAUAGGGAAUCUUGAAAAUUUUUGUGAACUAAACAAGGCCUGAAUGGAAAAAGAAACAAAAAAAAAGAAAUCUUUGCCGUGUGCCCCUGGCAGGCACACGACAAACCUAGUCAAAAAAAAAAUAAAAAAGCUGUUUGCCGUGUAUUUAAAAAUCUUUGCCGUGUACCAGAUCGCGGGCACACGGCAAAGUAAUUAAAAAAAAUAAAAAUUCUUUGCCAUGUGCCAGAUCACGGGCACACGGCAAAGAGUCCGUUUUUGGAGGCACCCACCCCGCACACGCCCGCAGACAGACACGCACACCACACCCGCGCCCGCCGUGCCCUCCCGCCGUGCCCGCCCGCCCC